AACGUAGGAGGCGAGCGUUAUCCGGAUUUACUGGGUGUAAAGCGCGAGCAGGCGGCUCGUUAAGUUGGGUGUAAAAGCUCCUGGCUCAACUGGGAGAGGUCGCUCAAGACUGGCGGGCUAGAGGGUGGUAGAGGAAGGUGGAAUUCCGGGUGUAGUGGUGAAAUGCGUAGAUAUCCGGAGGAACACCAGUGGCGAAAGCGGCCUUCUGGGCCACACCUGACGCUCAGAUGCGAAAGCUAGGGUAGCAAACGGG
rnacentral:rRNA from 1 species